rnacentral:tRNA from 1 species
GGUUUUGUGAGGCAAUGGUCAUAACUGUGGAUUUUGAUUCCGCUAAUCCCGGUUCGAUCCCGGGCAAGACCU